UACGUAGGGUGCGAGCGUUGUUCGGAUUUAUUGGGCGUAAAGCGAGCGCAGGUGGUUUAAUAAGUCUGAUGUAAAAGGCAGUGGCUCAACCAUUGUGUGCAUUGGAAACUGUUAGACUUGAGUGCAGUAGAGGAGAGUGGAAUUCCAUGUGUAGCGGUGAAAUGCGUAGAUAUAUGGAGGAACACCGGUGGCGAAAGCGGCUCUCUGGACUGUAACUGACACUGAGGCUCGAAAGCGUGGGUAGCAAACAGG
rnacentral:rRNA from 1 species